rnacentral:rRNA from 1 species
UCUUGCUUUGGUUUGGCCUAGAGAUAGGUUGGGCCAGAGGUUUAACAAAACACAAUUUAAUUAUUUUUACAGUUAGUCAAAUUUUGAAUUAAUCUUCAAAACUUUCAACAACGGAUCUCUUGGUUCUCGCAUCGAUGAAGAACGCAGCGAAAUGCGAUAAGUAAUAUGAAUUGCAGAUUUUCGUGAAUCAUCGAAUCUUUGAACGCACAUUGCGCCCUCUGGUAUUCCAGAGGGCAUGCCUGUUUGAGCGUCAUUUCUCUCUCAAACCCCCGGGUUUGGUAUUGAGUGAUACUCUUAGUCGGACUAGGCGUUUGCUUGAAAAGUAUUGGCAUGGGUAGUACUAGAUAGUGCUGUCGACCUCUCAAUGUAUUAGGUUUAUCCAACUCGUUGAAUGGUGUGGCGGGAUAUUUCUGGUAUUGUUGGCCCGGCCUUACAACAACCAAACAAGUUUGACCUCAAAUCAGGUAGGAAUACCCGCUGAACUUAAGCAUAUCAAUAAGCGGAGGA